rnacentral:rRNA from 1 species
CACGUAGGGGACGAGCGUUGUCCGGAUUCAUUGGGCGUAAAGCGCGCGUAGGCGGCUCGGAAAGUCGGGCGUGAAAUGCCGGGGCUCAACCCCGGGACUGCGUCCGAUACUUCCGAGCUGGAGGUAGGUAGGGGAGAUCGGAAUUCCUGGUGUAGCGGUGAAAUGCGCAGAUAUAGGAGGAACACCGGUGGCGAAGGCGGAUCUCUGGGCCUUACCUGACGCUGAGGCGCGAAAGCUAGGGGAGCGAACAGG